AUAGCUUAGCCACAUACUACUUCCUGUAUUUGGUCACAUGAUGUCAACUGCUAACCACCCUGCAACCAGGUAACACUAUGUACAGAAGUUAAUAUGUUGGAGUUUGCAUCUGAGUUAGUGUAACUUGGAGAAGUGAAAAUAGGUGGUGAGGGGAAACCAAAGAUGCUCGGGCUGUAGCACACAUCCACUUGAAAAUAAUGGCACCUUCACCUCCACAGGGUUUUUUUCUAACCGUCCUGUUACUGAUUCCACUUGACUGCAUAGCUCAUUCAUCACAGACAGUGUCUGCUUCAGUAGAUGGGCAUGUUCUCCUCCCUUGUGUCUCUCCGGAGAAAGGCAGCAGGCUGAAAUGGAUGAAGUAUUCCAAUGAUGCCGGCGAACCUAAAGUUAUACUUUCCAUGCCUCGUCACAGCCAGGAUUGUGAACGUGCAGCAUGGAAAUCUGAUGAAAACGGACAGCUGUCUCUUCUUUUGAAAAAUUUGAGCAAAUCUGACGAAGGACUGUACAGCUGUGAGGUCUGUCCAGGCUGGGAUUGUACUCAGGUCAAAAACAUAUCGUUAAGAGUGAGAGAAUGCAGUUUCCUCCCAUCAAUGAAGGUGAAAAGCGGAACAGACCUGAAACUGAACUGUGCAGCGGACACAGAGAGACAAGACAGGCCACUCAAUGUCUCAUGGUCAGUGGUCAAGGGAGGGAGACCCAUACCAUUGAGGUCUGAAGGAGCUGAGGUGAAGGACACAUGGUUGACUCUGCGGUCUGCCAGCAUCAGGGACAGUGCUUGGUACAGAUGUAGUUAUGAUCACAUAAAAAUUCGGCACUGCUUAGAAAUCAACGUUCAGGUUCAAGAUUCUUAUGAAGAGGUGACGACCACUCCCAGCCACUCAGAAGAAAGGACACACGAGGGCAUCCUUCCCACGUCCACUGUUGUGGCGUCCGUGAUUUUGGUGACUCUGUCCGUGGCUGCGCUAACAGGACUUGCAAUUUACUGCAAACACGUCAGGAGAGUCACUCAGCCGAGGCAGUGGCAGCCAACAGGUUUACUGACGCAGUCGAAUUGUGCUUAUUACGAGCUUAUGUUCAUUCCACCGUCACAAGGGCAUGAACCAAGCUGUGGAACCAAAGAUAUACCUCUUUCCCAAAAGCCAAUGUGGUAAUGACGUUACUGGCAGCCACUGUGAAAUCCUCCGCAAGAUCCACGGCCCUCUCCUGAUAGUCCAUCAAAACCUGCAGGAUCGUGACAGAAAACCCCCCUUUUUGAUGCAGCGCCUGUUUCUCGAUCACUUCUUGCAAAGAUUGGUGGCAGCAACGCUGCAAAGCUCCGUGGACCAGACGACGAUGUGCCCUCCACUCCUCUGUAUAGUCCCCCAGAGAGAUGGAGCGCCCUCCACCUGACACAAU